rnacentral:tRNA from 1 species
GAUUUGCUAGCUCAGUCGGUAGAGCACUUGACUUUUAAUCAAGGGGUCUUGGGUUCGAGUCCCAAGCAGAUCACCA